GAGGGCGUCUUAGUCAGAGCGAGAAAAAGGAAGUGGCGGGCGCCCGCUGUCUCUCUCGGGGGCCCCGCGCGGAGAGAGACUCACUGACACAUCACCCGGGACUACCGGUGGGGUGUCAGGAACGCCACCAGGGCGAGGUGACCCACGCCAUGCGGGAAGAGGAGGAAGCAAAUUCGGUUAGAACCUGACCGGGGCCGCGCCGUGGAGCCCCUUGGGCCUCCGGGUGAAUCCCGGAUUCCGGUCGCUCGCUGUUGUGUCUGAACUUGUAAGGAGAUAGCAUCUGAGAUGAGCCGAGAUGCGGCGUGGCUUGGUCAUCUUGAUGCUGGAGGCUUCUAACAUGCUACCCCCGCUUUUGCUAUCUUUUAAUUUUCCGUGAUAAAAGUUCCUGAGAGUAAAAAGGAGGAGUUGUGAAUGGGUGAGACAGAGACUUCAAGUGGAUUCUGCCUCGGAUGGAUUGACGGCCCCCUUUUGUCUCUCUCCAAAGAUAGGGACAGUAUACCACCAGAGCUUCAUAGUGAAUGCUGCCUCAGAGCAAAACACACACACACACACACACACACACACACACACACACACACACACACACACACACACACAGGAGCAAUGCACUGACUCCGGGACUCUGUGGUUCUGGGAAGCCUGUGGGCAACUGUGAGGCUCAGUCCAGUAAACUGUUGUCCAGGUGGCUUCUGGAUUUGUGGGAUUAUGGUGGAUAAAGUGUAAUCCCAGGCUGUCUGCCCCCACCAUUCUCUCUGGAGCUUCGUGCUGCCCGCCCCCAUUCCCGGAUUCGUCUGCUCUGCGAGUAUUUAUUGAGGGCUCUGCUAGCUGUCAGGGCACGUGGGAUGCAAAUGCAUUGCUGCCUCCAAGCCCUUUGCCAACUAUUUCACUGUUAUCUCUUCAUGAAGAAAACCCUUGCAUCCAUUUACAACUCUACAGGGGAUGAGACCUUUAGGAGAAAGCAGAAAUCUAAUUUCUGAGAUCAAAUCAAUCAUUCCCAACAGCAGUAAUGGCUGGCAUUGCUUCUGGGUCAUUUCUUCAUUCAAGCAGUCAAUUCAAUCAUUAUAGACUCUGUAAUUCUAGCAUUUUCAACAUUUUCGAGACUGAGUGGGAAAAAAAGCAUCACAAAACUGAGGCCAAUCUAAGCAAUAUAGAUCCUGUCUUAAAAAAAAAACCAAGCCAUGCAAAGAUGUUGCUAGCAGUCUCCACCCUCGCCAGUUUCAUUCUGGGGCCUCACAGAUAAUGCUUAGCACCCACAGGGGCCAGUCUUGUGUUAGGUGCUUGGUGACACCACUGUAAGCAGGACUCUACUCCAUCAGCCCAGGGAGGAGGCCUGAUCCAGUCUGGGGCCUCUCUAAGUGUCUGUGUCUGCACACCCAUGGUGUGUGGGCUGCGGUGGAAGUGGAGGCUAGAGAAAGUUUCUCGGCGAGAGCUGAGACAAACUUCCAAGAAUGGGUAGAAACCACUUGCUGUGAAGGAAACAAACAACCCAGUCUGUUCAGUACCGGAGGUGUUUGAAAGACUCCUGCUCAGUAGAGAGAAAUGAAGACGUCCGUAAAUCCACGGUUUUGUUCGAACGAAUGUUAAUGUUACUUACUUUGUUUGCUUGUACGUUGGGGUGCCUGUGUGGAGGUUGGAGGACAGCUUACAAGGGACCCUUUCUUGCCUUCCACCAUGCGGGACCUGGAGAUCAAACUCAGGUUCUGAGCCUUCAGCCACCAUCCCCACCGCCCAUGGAAACAUAUUUUUGGGUGGAGUUUUCUUCCUAGAGAGCUUGCAGGCUGCCUGAAAUCAUCAUGGAGGCCAGGUCAGAUUGGAAUGGUACCACAUAGGUACACAGCCUAGCACCCUGAGACCCUCACUUAGGACCAGACUUCCCUGAUCUACACAGCAGAGAUCGCUCAACUGGAAGUUCAGUUCUCGGUGGCUCACAGUAAGGCCCUAGAGUCGCACAGCGGUCAAUCUGGACUGCCCUCCUUCAAGAAGCAUGAAUUAUAUAGCUGGAAGGGCCCAAGGCUGCUGUGUCGGUCUGUCUUCUGACUUUCACUCUUCAUCAUGGAACAAGGGCUGGCUUCGCCAGCAUAGCUUGUUGCUCCAUACAGCCUUGUAUUUGGAAGCACGCUCCAGAGUUUCAAUCCUACGCGCUCGUCUGGAAACGGUUAAGACCCUGAACUUUUAAUUUGCAGUCUGGUCCCAUCCAUCAUGUAGCCGAUGCUGCUCACAGCUGGAAUGAAAGAGAUCUGCUGCCCUUCCCAGACCCCACAAGACUAGCAUUUCGUGUUCCCGUUUCCAAGUCUUAUGGAUUCCUUAUCCUCUGCGGCCUAGUUUUAAGAAUGAAUUUGAACAGAGGGCCUGCCUGCUUGUCUCAAAAACCUCUGAUGGCCUGCAGAUAAAAAAAAAAAAAAUCCAAAUUCCACUGGGCAUGGUGGUACACACCUUUAAUCCCAGUACUCGGGGAGUGGCAGACAGGUCUCUGUGAGUUUGGGAGGAAUCUGGGCUAUAGAGGGAAUUCCAGGCCAGUCAGAGCUUCAAAGGGAGAACCUGCCUCCAACAAGUAACAGAUCCAGUGCCAUCUGACCGCCUUUCUCCUGUCCCCGAGUAAGAAUCCGUCACCUCUGCACAGCUCCAACCGCUGCAGCGCCUUUAAGAGAACAUAGCUCAGCUCGCCCGCUUCCCCAGAUUCUUACGGCUCCUGCCACAGAGCCUAUCUGAUGCCUCCCUCACAGAGUGCCUGUCAGUCAGGGCUUGCUGAGAGAUAUGAAGCAGCUGGCCCUAAGGCACUCAGAGAGCAAGCAACAAAAACCAAAGCCGGAGACAUCGGGAAGGAGGAAAGAUGGAGGAUCCGUAGCCCACACUCACAGGUCUCAGCCGAAGGAGAGGACAGGUCUAGUGGCAUAAAAACCAAGACCGUCCCCCGCUGCACUGAAAUGUGACGGUGUACUGAAGGCAAAAGAGUUUACUAUGAUGUGUCCACGAGGCCGGAUCCUGUCCCCUUUGUUAUUUUCUUCCCUGAGCCAGCUGUCUUCAGAGUGAGCUCCUAUUUUCUGAGGGUUUCCGGCCUUUGUUGGAGCCUCGUUCUGUGUACCUCAGUGUCCUGGACUUGGAAGGCCUUUGACAACGUCGUGGGUCUCUCUUUAGAAAACAGCUCACAUCCCUAGGUGGGCCUGGCAGAUGGUGGAAAUGGUUUAAAAGGUGUGUCCACAGGUCAGAGCCCAGAGCAAUCCUGGGGGUGAGCCCAGGGCCUCCAUGAGCCCCAGUUCUGGGAAGAUGAAUUUGCCUUGGCCCUCAGUUAAUUCAGUUCUUUCUUUCUCCUUGUAAGAGCAGUGCGUGCUCGCCAAUGAGGUAAAAUGUGCGGGGUUUUGUUUUCAACUUUUUAUGACAUUCGUUUAUCUACUGGUGGGGGACAACAUGCCUGUGGAAUUCUCUCCUACCAUGUGGCUCUUGGGGAUUGAACUCAGGUCCUCAGGGUUGGUGGCAAGCACCUCUAUCCCCUGAGCCAUCUCUCAGUGCCUUUGUUUUGUUUUUAAGGUACGGCUUCUUCACACCGGCAGAUCCGGACCUGACGCUUGACUUCAGUGUUAGAAGGAACAGGAAUUGCACUAAGAACCAAAGAUCUGGAUUGCUCUCGGGUCUCUGUUGCCCCUUGUUUAAUCUUUACUUUGUCUAUUUAUGGUGUCUGCUUUCCCUCCCUGUCGAGGCCCUGCAGUCUAGGCCCCUGGAUCUUAGAACCGAAUGACAAUGAAGUCCACUGUUUGCAAA
rnacentral:lncRNA from 1 species